UACGGAGGGUGCAAGCGUUAUCCGGAUUCACUGGGUUUAAAGGGUGCGUAGGCGGAUCGCUAAGUCAGGGGUGAAAUCCUGGAGCUCAACUCCAGAACUGCCUUUGAUACUGGCAAUCUCGAGUCCGGGAGAGGUGAGUGGAACUGCGAGUGUAGAGGUGAAAUUCGUAGAUAUUCGCAAGAACACCAGUGGCGAAGGCGGCUCACUGGCCCGGUACUGACGCUGAGGUGCGAAAGCGUGGGGAGCAAACAGG
rnacentral:rRNA from 1 species